rnacentral:rRNA from 1 species
UACGGAGGGUGCAAGCGUUAUCCGGAUUCACUGGGUUUAAAGGGUGCGUAGGUGGGCAGUUAAGUCAGUGGUGAAAUCUCCGGGCUUAACCCGGAAACUGCCGUUGAUACUAUCUGUCUUGAAUAUCGUGGAGGUAAGCGGAAUAUGUCAUGUAGCGGUGAAAUGCUUAGAUAUGACAUAGAACACCGAUUGCGAAGGCAGCUUACUACACGAUCAUUGACGCUGAGGCACGAAAGCGUGGGGAGCAAACAGG